rnacentral:rRNA from 1 species
CCUACGGGGGGCAGCAGUGAGGAAUAUUGGUCAAUGGCCGGAAGGCUGAACCAGCCAUGCCGCGUGAAGGUCAGUGCCCUAUGGGCGUUAAACUUCUUUUGUGCGGGAGCAAUAAUGGUCACGUGUGGCCAGACGAGAGUACCGUACGAAUAAGCAUCGGCUAACUCCGUGCCAGCAGCCGCGGUAAUACGGGGGAUGCAAGCGUUAUCCGGAUUUAUUGGGUUUAAAGGGUGCGUAGGCUGGGAGGUAAGUCAGCGGUGAAAUGCCCCCGCUCAACGGGGUGAAGUGCCAUUGAUACUGCCUGGCUGGAAUGCGGAUGCGGUGGGAGGAAUGUGUGGUGUAGCGGUGAAAUGCAUAGAUAUCACACAGAACACCGAUUGCGAAGGCAUCUCACGAAUCCGCGAUUGACGCUGAUGCACGAAAGCGUGGGUAUCAAACAGGAUUAGAUACCCCUGUAGUC